UUGUACUUUGUAAAAGUUGUAUAAAAAAUAGUGUGUUCUUGAAUGUGUCCAAUUUAACAGCGAAUUUAAAUUCAGAGUGUCUAUAGUUAGGCAAUUAAAUAGAAAUCUGAAGACUCAUACCCUCUAUUGUUUGGAGUACAGUAAGCCACGAGUUACAGUUACAUAAACAACUGUUUUUAGUUGUGUAUAUUACAAGUUAAUAAAAUUUAGUUCUCUUUUAGUAAUACUAUUUAUAACAGCGUAAGCAUUUUUCAUAAAUCCCGGUUUUCUCAUAUUCUAGUAGUAAAUUUAUUUUAUAUUUUCUAUCUAUCAGGAAAAUGGGUACAGAAAAUCUGCAGACGCCUGCAAGAAUCGCAUAAAGAAUAUGAAGCAUUCUUAUAAAAAAAAUAAAGGACCACAACAAUAAAAGUGGGAGUGGCAAGAAAACUAGCAAGUUUUUUGACGCUAUGGAUAAAAUAUUAGGAACCAGACCCGCUACCCGUCCAACACAUAUUCUGGAGACAAGUAUUAAUUCAGAAACACAAGAUUUGGAUGAUUUUGAUGAUGAUGAUAAUGAUGAGGAACCAACAAGAGUCAAUUUGGAAAAUGAAGAAAAUGAGCCUACAGAAACCGUCCUCCGUAAACAGCCAGAAAAAAAAGGACCAGAAAAGAAAAAAAGAAACAGAGAGGAUAUAAUUCAACGUGUUCUGAAUGAGACAACAACCAGCUUUAUAAAUUAUCAAAGAGAACAAGAAAGAUCAUAUUUUGAAUUCGAAGAAAAAAGAAUGAGAAUGGAGGCAGAUUCAUAGAGACUUAGAAAAGAGCAGAGACGGGAGGAUCGACUUAGAGCUGAGGAACAACGACGCGAGGAUAGGGAAAGAGAUAGGCAACAUGAAUUAAAAUUAUGGAGUUUGUUUGCCAAUCAGGGAUUUCAGCAGCAUCAAUUUUCUCAACAACAAAAUGGACAUGUUCCGCAGCCACAAUUUUUACAAGGAGCUAAUGGACACACAUAUACAAAUUUAUAAAACCAUAUUAUUUUCAAGACCUAUCAUUUUGUGCCAAAAGUUCUGCUAUGUAGAGCAUUUAUUUUCAUUGAUAACAGUUAAUUUUUGUUUGUAGAAAUACAUAGUUUUAUUUAUCAUUCCAUUGUGCCAAGGCUAGAGUUUUAAUAAAUUAAUUUUCAUGUUUUAAUUAUUAAUAUCCAUAUCAUUUAACUUAAUGUAUCAUGAAGCUGAAUCAUAUUAUUUUCAAGAUAUACCAUUUUGUGCCAAAAUAUCUGACAUGUAGCGCAAUUAUUGUCAUUGAUAACAGUUUAUUUUUGUUUCUACAAAUACAUGAAUUUUAUUUGUCAUUCCAUUUUACCAUGGCUCAAGUUUUAAUAAAUUUAUUUCCAUGUUUUAAUUAUUAAUAUCCAUAUCAUUAUCAAAUGUGUCAUGAAGCUGAUAUAUGUACUUGGUUGUGAAAGUUAACUGUAGUUGUAACACGUUUUAUGUGAUUUCAGUUUUUAUGAAUUUAAAUUACCAGUAUGAGAUUAAUUGUUUCAAUGGCAUUUAGCAAUUGAACUGGGAAUACACAGGACAAUCCUUGUUUAUAUCUAAAGCAAAGUUUUGACUUGGCUUCUUAUCGUUAUCAAAUAAUGCGAAACGGUAUGAGGUGGGUGUUUUCUUCUUUGUAAGUCAAUUGAUAAGCCCCUAAUAAGAACAAAACAGUCUGUUAUGUUUUCAAAAAUGGUAAAUUCUCUUUUAUUUAAUACAUUAAUUGAAAGACAUAAAUUAAAAAUUGAUCAAUAACUUUAUAGUGUAGGCUUGUACAGUGGACUCGGAAUAUUCCGAAUUAUUAGACCAAUCUGGGGACCCCCGUUAAACGAUUUCUGUUGAAUUAACAUUGGAUAAUCCGGCCUUCAAUCAGUGGGUGUUAACCGACAAGCAAUCAAUUAUCGGUGAGCUUAAAGUAUGUGUCAGUCUUUGUUAAUAAAACCUUGAUAAUUUUAUAAUUUCUUGUAAGAGAGUGCUUGGUAUUUCAUUUGAUUUUUUCACGUCAAAUACAGCAACAUUAAAUAUAAAUUGCUGAGAUGAAGAAUCACUAUCAUUAUAAUAUUUUGUUCAUAACGACGCACAAGUGUUUUGUACGCACCCAAAGUAAAAACAUAAUAAUUUUAUAUAAUAAAGUUUCAAAUGUACAGAAAGGUUUAUCAUAUUUUUAAGUUCUGGGUAUUCGAAGGUGCAUUAAAAUAAUACUUUGGUAUUCGAGGUACAAUAAUACUUGCAGUUUUGAGACAAUUAAGUAUUCCGUCAUGGUGUAUAAUCCGGCAUUGUAUCGGUCCUGUACAAUGUUGAAAGUGAAAGAGUCCACUGUAUAUUUUUAAUUACAUACACUUCUUCAGUGAUGGACAACAAAGAUGACAAUUGGACCUCUUAUUAUAUAAUCCAACUCUGGCUUAAUGAGAUGCAUGGAUCAAAAAUCAAGAUGCCAAAAGGUGUCAAUUUAAAUUCUGUAUCCAAAUACCUUUAAAUUAGUAUGUGACUUAGAAAUAUGCUUGGAAUAUUUAAAUUUGAAUGUACCAUAAUAUUACUUUUAAGAAAGAAGAUAUUGAAAAUUUUGGAAACAAAUUGAACUCCAUAGCAACCAUUUGGCCAGAGCUGAUCACAUAUAUAGUUAUAAUAGACCCACUGUGUUAUAAGAUUAUCAGUUAUUUUUCUGUUGUAUGAUUUUUAUUAUGAAAAUAAACCAAUUUAGUUUGA